CAUUCCUUAUAUAAUCGAAAAAGAGAAAGAAAACCUAAAAUAUGAACCUAAUUGUCUCUUCGCCUCCAUCUCUUCGCCUCCCCACCCUAAAAUAUGAACCUUUUCUGGUUUCAUCAAACGUAUCUGAAACUUUUUAACAAGAUGAAGAAAAAUAAAAAUCUUGAAACACCGGUAUGGUUUGUUUUGCAAUUUUUUUCUCUGAAAUUACCUUCAAUUGAUACAUCAUCCUGAGAGACGACAUAUCCAAGUGGUGGCGAGUCAAGGGUGCUUUUGAAUUCACUAUAUCUUUUUAGAUCACCAAAAACUAUACAGGAAAGUUACUCAUCAUCUAUUUCCUGCUACUUCUGCAAUUCUGCAACAACUUCUUAUUCAACUAGGUCGAAGUUCAGAUGUUCAAAACGUUUUGAAACCUCCUCGUGGAAGUGAACAUAGCAAUCAAGAAGAAAACAAAUGAAAUUGAAUAAUAGAAAAUGGUCAUCACCGUAUUUCAUGGAGGUAUGUAUAGGGUAACUUCUGCCUUUUGUACCACAAUCAAAAGCUAAUAGACGACAAAUUUGUGCUUCAAGACUUUGGCAGAACUUGUAAAUGCCAACAUAAGAAACAUUUUGAUGGAUUUGGCUCCUCUUGGUUGCACUUUCUCAUUACUUAUGGAAAGUAGUUAAGGGAACUAUGUUGUGUGACUUGCUCACCAUUUAUUUUUCUAUAGAUAUAUGCAGCUUCUUAUGUAUUGUUCCAACUUUUAAAUUGUAGGAAUUAUUUGAUGUUGGCUUGUUGCCUUUGGCGACCUAGUAACAAGGAAGGACAUCAUGCAACGCUACAAGCGUGAGCUGAAAGAGUUCAAGCUCAAGAUAGCUAAGUAUGCACACAAAAUGAGACUAUGAAAAAGUUAAAGGAAGACAAUGAAAAUUUCACACUGAACAUGGUCCAUGAGCAACAGAAUCUGAUGCUAGAGCGAAGCCAUAUGGAACAACUGUGUACACCGGAUUAGGAGUCAGUGGUCAAUUGUAGGCUUGGUAUUGUAUUUUUAUUAACAAUUAAUUAUUUGCUAGUAUAGUUUAUUUAUCAUAUAUCUUUAGUUUGGGUA